rnacentral:rRNA from 1 species
AUGUUUCAAAAACGUUUUGGCAACCUGAUAAACCUCAAAUAUUUAGCCUUGUUUCAAAACCAAAUUUCGGGAUCAAUACCAAAAACUUUUGGCAAGUUGCAAAGCAUCCAAAACAUGUUAAUGUUUAGCAACAAAUUAUCAGGUUCUCUUCCUCAAGAAUUUGGAAAUCUCGUAAGCCUUGUUCACCUUGAGGUGGCAAACAACUCACUUUCAGGACAUUUACCUGCAAAUAUAUGUUCAAGUGGAGGACUAAAAUCUCUCGCUAUCGCUUCUAAUAUGUUCAAUGGCCCAAUUCCAAGGAGUUUAAAGACAUGUACAAGUUUGGUUAAAAUUGACCUUCAGUCGAACAAACUAACAGGAGAUAUAUCUCAUCAUUUUGGUGUGUAUCCACAACUCAUAUGGAUGGGCUUGUCAACGAAUAGACUCUCUGGGCAGAUCUCAUCAAGUCUAUGUGCAUGUACCCAACUAACGAUACUACAUCUAGGAAAUAAUAUGAUCACAGGUUCCAUACCUCCAAUCCUUUCUAAAUUGUCCAACCUAGUAGCACUAACACUCAAUUCUAAUCAUCUCAGCGGCGAGAUUCCUCCAGAAAUCUGUACUUUAGCAAAUCUAUAUAGCCUCAACUUAUCAUCGAACCAGUUAUUUGGAUCCAUACCUACACAGAUAGAAAAGCUAAGCAAUAUAGGAUACCUUAAUAUAUCUGGGAACAGACUAAGUGGAUCAAUACCUGAGGAACUAGGGGCAUGCAAGAAACUACAGUCCUUGAAGAUCGGCAACAACCAAUUCAACGGGAGUUUGCCUGGUGUGGUUGGAAAUUUAGCAGGCCUGCAAAUCAUGUUAGAUGUGAGCAACAAUAACCUCAGUGGUGUUUUGCCGCAGCAACUUGGGAAGUUGGAGAUGCUGGAAUCUCUCAAUUUAUCACAUAAUCAGUUCAGUGGAAGCAUUCCAUCCUCCAUUGCAAACAUGCUGAGCCUUUCAACACUUGAUGUGUCCUACAAUGACUUGGAAGGACCAGUCCCAACAGCACGGCUACUCCAAAAUGCUUCAGCAAGUUGGUUUCUUCCCAAUAAAGGUCUCUGUGGUAACCUCUCUGGCUUGCCACCUUGUUAUUCAACCCAAGUAGCUGCUCACCAAAAAGGGAAGAUACUUGGUUUGCUUUUGUCCAUUGCUCUUGUGAUGGGUUUCGGCAUUGUUGCUGCAAUUGUUGUCAUAAUAAUACUUACUCGUAAGAAGAGAAAUCCACAAGAAAGUGUUACCUCUGAAGCAAGGGACCUAUUCUCUGUUCGGAAUUUUGACGGAAGACUGGUAUUUGACGAUAUUGUAAGGGCAACAGAAGACUUUGAUGAUAAGUACAACAUUGGAACCGGAGGAUACGGCAAAGUCUACAAGGCACAACUCCAAGACGGGCAGCUGGUUGCUGUGAAGAAGCUUCAUCAGACCGAAGAAGAGUUGGAUGAUGAAAGAAGAUUUCGCAGUGAAAUGGAAAUCUUAACACAGAUCCGACAACGAAGCAUUGUCAAAAUGUAUGGAUUCUGCUCCCAUCCAGCAUAUAAAUUUCUCGUCUACGACUACAUUCAGUAG